rnacentral:rRNA from 1 species
CCUGACGACGCAACGCCGCGUGGAGGAUGAAGGUCUUCGGAUUGUAAACUCCUGUUGCCCGGGACGAAUGGCUUCAACCUAAUACGUUGAAGUGUGACGGUACCGGGUGAGGAAGCCCCGGCUAACUCUGUGCCAGCAGCCGCGGUAAUACAGAGGGGGCAAGCGUUGUUCGGAAUUACUGGGCGUAAAGGGCGCGUAGGCGGCCUGCUAAGUCGAACGUGAAAUCCCUGGGCUCAACCCAGGAACUGCGUCCGAUACUGGUUGGCUUGAAUCCGGGAGAGGGAUGUGGAAUUCCAGGUGUAGCGGUGAAAUGCGUAGAUAUCUGGAGGAACACCGGUGGCGAAGGCGACAUCCUGGACCGGCAUUGACGCUGAGGCGCGAAAGCCAGGGGAGCAAACGGGAUUAGAUACCCCGGUAGUCCUGGCCCUAAACGACGAAUGCUUGGUGUGGUGGGUAUCGAUCCCUACCGUGCCGAAGCUAACGCAUUAAGCAUUCCGCCUGGGGAGUACGGUCGCAAGGCUG